rnacentral:lncRNA from 1 species
CCAUCACAGAUUAUAAAUAUACAUUUCCAUUUUCCUGACUUUUAAAUUUAUUAAAGUUUCAAUUUUAAAUUUGUGAUAUUUAUUUCCCUACGAAAUGUGAUAAGAAAAUGAUGUUGUAAUUUAAGUUAGAUUAGGAAUUAUUUAAUUGGUCUAUUGCUAGUAUCUAGCAUUAAAUAUGCUUCGAGCAAUUGCAAACGUUUACAUCGAGAGCCAGUCUCGGACCAGACGAGAUGCUUUGCAAAUAUUUCGAGUUUGCAAUUAUUCCAGCGUGCGUGGAGAUGACAAGACCGUGCUGGCGGGCGAGCGGCGCGCCGGCCCGGCGCCCCGGACGC